ACAGUGCAUUUUUCGGGAUGCAUGGGCAGUUCUUGAACGGCUUCUGGUUGCUCUUCACCCCAAAUGCGGCAAUUUUGCUUAUUUACGUAGCCAUUCAACCAGAAAUGAGCCUCAUCGCUGAACAAAACACGCGCGAAACACAUUUCGAACCGAACACUGAUUUUGGUAAUAAAAUUCAAUGAUUUGCAAGCGUUGCUCGUUAGUAAGUCUAUUCAUGAUGAAAUGUCAAAGCAUACUGAGCAUCUUUCUCUUUGACACCAUGUCUGAAAUCCCACGUGAUCUGUCAAAUACUAAUGCAUGAAAAUCCUAACCUCAAAAAAAUCACCCGUUACAAUUGUCUCGUUUGUUUUGCUUACAAAUAUAUUUACUCAUAUUAUUUUUACAUUUAGUGAUUGUUAUGAGUUUAUUAUUACAUUGUGCUAUCAAUGGGUCUAAUAUAAGUUUCCCAUGAUGAUAUUUUAGAGCAGUUAUGUCGUAGGUAUUACAUUGCUUUGAUAUGAUUGGGUAUUUAUAUAUAGUAAUGAAGGCGUUAUCUACCCUGACUAUAUGUAUUUCUGCGUAUUCUAAUAUAUCUAUAGCUGGAAGGGUUAUUUUUUCUGUAUUCAGGAUCUUUUCCACUUCUUCUAUAUUUAUUGCACCUGAAUAAAAAUUUUUCACCCCUAUCAUGCAUUUCGAUUACGUUCCCGCUCUACGCUCCGCCGGAGUCGAAAUUAGGUAUCAUGCGUUACGAUUGGAUUGAAAGAAGAAGAGGAAGAGCUAUAACUCUUUCGAAAUCAGCUGUUUGCUUUGAAAUAUGUGAAACUGGAACAUAACAAAGCAAAAAUACACAAAUUACUGCUGUUCAAAGAAAAUAGAUAAAAGUAAAAUUUUUAUAUUGUUAUUAUUUUUAUUAAACGUAACUAUGGAAUCUUUAUCCGCGGCGAUAUUACUGGUUGAGGAGGAGAGCAGCGCAUCUCAGAAUGCUGGGGUGAGAAUUGAAAGGAGAAGAUUACGAGAUAUGUGCGAUCCCUUCCAGAUGAAUGAAGGGCUAUUCAGAAAAACUUUCGUCUGAAUAAGGACGAAUGUCCUAGAUACGUUUGCGGAAGAAACGACGGCAAGUAAAUUUGAUGCUACCUCUUUCCAAAAAGCCUGCACAUCUUCCUUAGGACGCUGGUGGAAACCGUUGGCUAUAUCUAGCUUACUCUCCAUCAUAUCUGCCAAUUUUCCAUAUUGCUCUGGUGUUGUUGUU